CGGGUAGUAGUUCAGCCCGGUUAGAAUGCCUGCUUUGGGAGCAGGAGGUCGUGAGUUCGAAUCUCGCCUACCCGA
rnacentral:tRNA from 1 species